GCACGAUAGUUAGCCGGCGCUUCUUCUGCAGGUACCGUCACUUUCGCUUCUUCCCUACUGAAAGAGGUUUACAACCCGAAGGCCGUCAUCCCUCACGCGGCGUCGCUGCAUCAGGCUUUCGCCCAUUGUGCAAUAUUCCCCA
rnacentral:rRNA from 1 species